rnacentral:lncRNA from 10 species
GCUGAGGCCCCUGCCCAGGGCUGCGCUCCUCCCAACAGCUCCUUCACAGAGUUGUGGGUCUCAGAAUGAUCCUCAUUGUAUACACAGGGCCAGGGCCUCUUUUUGUCUUUUUGCAUAAUUCCUCCUGCAGGGGCCCCACCCCAGCAGGGCCUCAGCCCAAGGCUCCAGUGGCUGAGCGGCCCCCUUCCAGCUUCCCUGGUCAGGAAACACCCCCUCUUGCGGCUGCCCAGAGACAAAGGGUCCCCUGGGUGUGGCACUUGCUGUCAGGCAUAUUCUAAGCCCCAGGCAAGCAUCCUGAAUGUGUGGCCAGUGGUUGGUGACAAAGGCUCAAGAUAAGGGUUCACGCCCUGAACAAAAAAUGUCCCAGGCCACCUGCAGCCCAUGAGGGGCCUACCAAGAGAGGCCCUGGCACCUUGGUCCAGCCAGGGGCUGUGCAGAAGCUGCUGGAACCCCCUUGCUCUGUCGCUGGUGGCUGGUGCAGAGACUGGUCACCCUCUGCCGACCUAUGGUCUGAGGAGCCCCCCGGGUGGAAGGCUGCGAGCGAUAAUGUCAGGCAGCCUCUGUGAUCUGGGUCCCACCCCCUCGCCACGUGUCCCCCCAGCUUCCAGGCUCCACGUCUGUGCCAAGGUCGGCUCCUCAGUCCAUCUUGCCCAAGCCAUGCUCACAGGGAUAGCCCUAUUGCCAAGGCAACACUGCCCCUCCUGGAAUGCACCCCCGGCCAUGCAGGCAGCCUGCAGCACUCACUUCCUCCUUCUCAUCUUCAAGUGAGAAACUCUUCCUCUGCCCCACUCAGACCAUCCGUCUCUCUCUCUGGGCAACAUCAGAGCCUGCCCGGGAUCCCCACAGAGGCUGUGCGAGUCUGUGUCCCCAGCCCGGGUCUUAGCGUUCAGACUAAAUGUCUGAAACAUAUUUUGAGAGAAAGCAUAAAAUUGCUUAUUUUAUUGAGCAAACCAAUUAGAACAAGUCAGACCCUUUUAUGAAGACACAGCACUGAGGGGCUCCAUCAAACCUUCCUCUCAUCCCCAGAGGUCCUCACGCUCACAAAAUUGGCAGAUUGUCAGCAUUUGAGAUGCUUCUUCAGGAAAUUCAAAUUUCAUUUUCCCCAGUAGGUUAAAAGACUGGAUUUCCUGCCAUUUUAGCAAGACUGCAAUUUCAUUCUUAACCCCUCUGAGAAUUCACAUUCAGGCUGCAACCUUGAGAGUUGAGGGCCUCCACGUGCCUCAACCCAGGAAAACCAGGCACACUUGUAAACUCUCUUGGGAACCUCCCAAGGUGAGGGGAGUCCGUGGGAAGAUGGCUGAGGGAGAUCUGGAGGAGGCAGAGCUGAAGGGGAAAUCCAAGGCAGUAAAGUGGGACCCCGGAGUCUGGUGGGGCAUUGGAGGUCUGUCGCUGGGGAUCCCGACUGUCGGGUGGCUCGGAUGGCACUGGACAGGGCCAGCCUCUCUGGUGGGUGGCCUUGGUUUCAGGACCCCUGCUAUUGCCAAAAUCCAAGGAUGCCCAAGUGGCCGUUAUAGAAUGGUGUGGUAUUUGCAUGUCACCCAGCCACAUCCUCCUGUGAGCUUCGAGUCAUCUCCAGCUUACUCACAGGACCUGAUAGGACAUAAAUGCUAUGGAAAUUGUUGUUAGACGUUAUUGUUAAAACUUGUGUUACUUUUUUUGCCGUAUUAUUAAUUUUUAUUGAUUUUUUCCUGACUAUUUUUUAUCCGAGGUUGGUCAGUGAUGAUGAGCAUUUCUUCAUGUGUUUUUUGGCUGCAUAAAUGUCUUCUUUUGAGAAGUGUCUGUUCAUGUCCUUCGCCCACUUUUUGAUGGGGUUGUUUGUUUUUUUCUUGUAAAUUUGUUUGAGUUCAUUGUAGAUUCUGGAUAUUAGCCCUUUGUCAGAUGAGUAGGUUGCGAAAAUUUUCUCCCAUGUUGUAGGUUGCCUGUUCACUCUGAUGGUAGUUUCUUUUGCUGUGCAGAAACUCUUUAGUUUAAUUAGAUCCCAUUUGUCAAUUUUGUCUUUUGUUGCCAUUGCUUUUGGUGUUUUGGACAUGAAGUCCUUGCCCACGCCUAUGUCCUGAAUGGUAAUGCCUAGGUUUUCUUCUAGGGUUUUUAUGGUUUUAGGUUUAACGUUUAAAUCUUUAAUCCAUCUUGAAUUGAUUUUUGUAUAAGGUGUAAGGAAGGGAUCCAGUUUCAGCUUUCUACAUAUGGCUAGCCAGUUUUCCCAGCACCAUUUAUUAAAUAGGGAAUCCUUUCCCCAUUGCUUGUUUUUCUCAGGUUUGUCAAAGAUCAGAUAGUUGUAGAUAUGCGGCAUUAUUUCUGAGGGCUCUGUUCUGUUCCAUUGAUCUAUAUCUCUGUUUUGGUACCAGUACCAUGCUGUUUUGGUUACUGUAGCUAGGUAGUAUAGUUUGAAGUCAGGUAGUGUGAUGCCUCCAGCUUUGUUCUUUUGGCUUAGGAUUGACUUGGCAAUGCGGGACUUGCUUUAUGAAUCUGGGUGCUCCUGUAUUGGGUGCAUAAAUAUUUAGGAUCGUUAGCUCCUCUUGUUGAAUUGAUCCCUUUACCAUUAUGUAAUGGCCUUCUUUGUCUCUUUUGAUCUUUGUUGGUUUAAAGUCUGUUUUAUCAGAGACUAGGAUUGCAACCCCUACACUGAUGGGUCUUGACUCUUUAUCCAACUUGCCAGUCUGUGUCUUUUAAUUGCAGAAUUUAGUCCAUUUAUAUUUAAAGUUAAUAUUGUUAU